UCGAUCUCAAAUCAAGUAAGACUACCCGCUGA
rnacentral:rRNA from 1 species